GGCGCUAUAGCCAAGUGGUUACGGCGACAGAUUAGAAUGAGCUUUUCGCAUCUUGAUCUGUUCCUCUUUGAGGGCGCAGGUUCGAAUCCUGCUGGCGUCG